rnacentral:tRNA from 1 species
UGGGAUGAAAAAAAAGUAGUCCCAACCAAGAAUCAAUCCCAAAAGGUCGGAGCGAGGCAAAAUUGGCUUUCAAACUAGGUUCUGGGUUCACACAAGACCUGAAUCAGGAACAAGGGCUAUUAGCUCAGGUGGUUAGAGCGCACCCCUGAUAAGGGUGAGGUCCCUGGUUCGAGUCCAGGAUGGCCCACCUGCACAGGUGGCCAAAACAAAGAAAAAAAGCUCCGAAUCAGCACCUUAUCUUACUUAUAUAGUAAGAGAGAAUGCUGGCUCUGAGUACAGAGUCCAGAGGAACCUUGAAAACUGCAUAGAGCUAGGUGAAAAAGCCAAAAAAGAAGACCGCCAGGUC